rfam:Oryctolagus cuniculus cont2.64802, whole genome shotgun sequence.
CGGGAGGGAGGCUGCGGACGAGUGCGGGGAGGAGUCUGCGCUGGGAGGCGCUUGCAGGGGCUCCCCCAGUUCUGCGCCGAGAGCCGCGGCACAAAGAGCUCUCUGCGCCCACCAGAGGUAAGCGGCCGCCCGCGU